GAUUUCUGGAUUCUGAAAUUUGGCCGGCCACGGUUUCGUGUGUUAGUGCUUUGUUUCGUGUCCAUCCUUCCAAUCGCUAUUGGCUAUUCUUCAUUGAUUGGUCAGUAGUAUUGGAUCUUUUACUUUGAAAAAAUUAGAGUGUUUCAAGCAGGCUUUAUGCUAUGAAUACAUUAGCAUGGAAUAAUAAUUUAGGACUUCGGUUCUAUUUUGUUGGUUUCUAGGACUGAAGUAAUGAUUGAUAGGGAUAGUUGGGGGUGCUAGUAUUCAGCGGCCAGAGGUGAAAUUCUCGGAUUCGCUGAAGACUAACUUAUGCGAAAGCAUU
rnacentral:rRNA from 1 species